ensembl:lncRNA
AUGGUACAUCUCAGUACUGAUGUCCUGAGGCUUUGCAAGUCGGGAUGGCAAGUAUCUGUUGAGGCUAUUAUUUCCGUGUGGGGAAAUUGGAUGAAAAGAACAAUUCUGCAGCCCCAGUCUUGUCUGCCAGCAGCAGAGACUGUUCAUAGUCAGGCACCACUCAAACUCUCGGCUCUGCCUCCGUGUGUGUCUGCUUUGUGUCAGGCUGGCUUCCUCCAUGGCGGCGGGGUAGCCCUCAUCAUCAGCACUCAGAGCAAAGGCUGUCUUGUUCUCAUCUGGCAAGAGCAGUUUCCUGCAGUCGUGGCAGGAAAGUCUGAAGGGGUGGCUCUGCCUGGACCACCACAGCCAAGGCAAUGCCCAGGUCGACUCAAGACCAUGAUGGGCUGAUGUCCUUCAAUGAGCCAGAGUCCGCCUGGAAAGUCACAACUCACCAUGGGAGAGCGUGGAAGGACAUGGAGAACACGCGCCCAGUGCCUCCCACAAGCCACAAAUCUCACGGGUGAGGAAAUGCGGCCAAGCCCACCCGCGGUUCUACAUCUACUUUGUGGCCAGAUCUAAGGCCAGAUAUCAGUGGCUUUUGCCUACAGUUGGCUGCUUUUGAAUCAAUAAUGGAAUGGAAGAACUUGAUGGGUAACAAACACCCCAUCACUAGGGAGAUUCAAGCCAAGGCUGGAUGGGAUCAUAGCUAUAAAAGGAAUUACUGCACUUAUCUCCAAGGAAGGAGGCCUGGGUUACUGGUGUUUUGUGGGAACAGCAUGGGGAUGAGACAAUUAAUCCCAGGAUGGGCUCAUGGAAACAAGGCCCUCCAGCAGGGAUGGGCCUGUCCUGUCCACUUCCUUGGAUUUGUAACUUCCUGAGCGAGGCUCUGACUCCCCUCUGCCUUCCCCUCCUCCCUGCCCUGUUCCAGGCUCAGAUGGACAAGCAGGGGCUGGUAAUUGUAUUUAGUUCAGUUUCCUCCCUGGCCCUGCCCACCCGAUAAUCUGAUUUCCAAGGGCUGAGGGAUGGCAGGGCCCGGGCUCAGGAAGAAAUCUGCUCCCUGUGUCCGCUGGGCCUGUUAAUUUGAUAGAACUACUUGCUGAGCUUCCACAGAACCCUCAUUAGGAACAAAUUUCAUCUGGUUCCCACAACCCUGGCCCUGGGGAGCUCUCCAACUCUCAGCCCAGAAGGAAAUUCAGCUUUCCAAUUUAUUACUAAUUUCUGCGUAAGGAUAGUGUCUUUAUCAUAAUAACAGCAACCCAAGAUUGAGCACCUACGGUGUGUUAGACACAGAACCAGGUGCUUUAAACCUGAUGACUCACCGGGUGUGCUGUUCCCCUGUGAAUUCACAGGUGCUCCAAGCUAGGCCCUUGGAUAACGAUACCCUUUGUCACAGGAUUCUCCCUCCAUUUGAAUGGAUUUACUCUUGGGCCUGCGACUUUUGGCCAGAUCAGAGAGUUGUGUGAUACUCAGUGUUUCUAGGGCAAGAUGGCUGUCCGAGUGGAGCAGGAUCUGACCCAAGUCACCUCUCCUGCCAAAGGGCUUCUGGUGUCUAACAGAUGCCAGCAGUCAGUCAGAACACCUGUUGGAGCUCACCUUUGCCAUCCCACCCCAUCACCAUAACAACCACCUGUGACUUCAAACCCCAUUCUAAAGCUCAGGGUGGAAAGACAGACUCUGGGUCCUGGAGAGAAGCAGCUUUGCCAUCUAUCAGCUAUGUAACCUUGUAAAGGUAUCUCAACACUGAGGCAGGGAUUCUUCAUCUGGGAAUGGUGAGAGUAUAAUCUAUCUUAGAGGGCAUUUGUGAGCACUGAAUGAAGUAAAAGUAUAAGCAACAUAGUCUCUGGUUUCACUGCGUGGGAUGGGAAUUAUGAAUCACCCUCAGCUCAAGUAUUUUCCCAGAGCCUGAACUACCCCUGGGCCAGGCCAUCUGGCCUUCCACUUUGACUUCCUCUCUUAAGAGGGGAAUGGAGGGCUUGCCAGAUUGCUCAUCACAUGGAUCUGUUUUAUUUUGCCUUUGGCCACAUCACACAGCAUGUGGGAUUUUACUUCCCUGAUCAGGGAUCAAACCCAUGUGCCAUGCAUUGAAAGUGCAGAGUCUUAAGCACUGAACCACCAGGGAAGUCCCUCAUCACACAGAAAUUGUGUGAAUCACCUGCUUGUUCUUUGAGGGUCUCUGUCCCCAAGGAGCUCAUGUUUUCAUGACACUGAUGACAGAUAAGUAAAUGAAUAUAUAUUUUCCUUUCUUUUUUUUUGGCUGUGCCAUGUGUCUUAUGGGGUCUUAGUUCCCCGACCAGGGACUGAACCCAGGCCCCCUGCAGUGGAAACGCAGAGUCCUAACCACUGGACCGCCAAGGAAUUCCUGUGAAUGAAUACAUGAAGUAUCACACUGUGACAUAUGCUGUGUCCGAGUAGACACUGGGGAAGCUACUGGCCCCCCAGCUAGAGUGCUGGUGUCCAGCCACCCUAGGGAGGUGACAAAUGGUUUUCCAUACACCACUCCACCCAGAGGAUAGGCACUCCCUUCCCCAGGCAGUCAGCCUGCUACCUGAGCAGUCUUUGUGUCUUUGUGUCUCAAGUUACUGGCUGAUUGCCCCCACCCCAAAGAAGCCUCUUCUCUCAGACUUUUUCCAAGGGGCAGACCUGGGCUCAGCCCCUGAUUCUGCUGCCAGCUUUGUUGUGAGUAUAAAUUCUGGCAGACCUGGGAGACACCAAUUCCACCUCCCAAAGAACUCCAUGUCUGGUUUCCCUGCCUCUUUCAAAUCUAUUCAGAUGUCACCUCUCCCAGGAGGGCUUCCCUGACCACCAGUUCUAAAUUAGCCAGUCUCACACAUGACCCCCCGACCCCACUUUUCCCCAUCCCGACUACCCAUCUCCUUAGCCAAAACUAACAAGUGAGUUCAGCAAGGUCACAUUAUAUAAAGUCAAUAUACAAAAAUCAAUUGUAUUUCUAGUAUUAAUUUUUGAAUUAACUUUUGUAUCGGAGAAGGCAAUGGCACCCCACUCCAGUACUCUUGCCUGGAAAAUCCAUGGACGAAGGAGCCUGCUGGGCUGCAGUCCAUGGGGUCACUAAGAGUCAGACACGACUGAGCGACUUCACUUUCACUUUUUACUUUCAUGCAUUGGAGAAGGAAAUGGCAACCCACUCCCAAGUUCUUGCCUGGAGAAUCCCAGGGGCGGGGGAGCCUGGUGGGCUGCCGUCUAUGGGGUCCCACAGAGUCAGACAUGACUGAAGUGACCUAGCAAAAAAAAAAAAAAACUUUUGUAUAAGAAGGUGUGAGGGAAGGGUUGAAGUUAGUUGGAUAUCAGGUUGUUCCAGCACCAUUUGUUGAAAACGCUGUUCCUACAUAAAAUAACCUUGGCACUUCUGUAAAACAUCUGACUGUUUAUAUAUGUAUUGGCCUAUUUCUGGCUCUAUAAUGUUCCAUUGAUCUAUAAUCUAUAGCAAUACCACAUUGUCUUGAUUAUGUAGCUUUGUAAUAAGUCUUGAGAUCAGAUAAAGUAAGUCUUCUAAUUUUAUUCUUUUCUUUAGCUGGACUUUGUUCUUACUUGUUGGCCGCACCGCACAGCUUGUAGGAUCUUACUUUUCUGACCGGGAAUUAAACCCAUGCUCUCAACAGUAAAAUCACAGACUCCUAACCACUGGACCACCAGGGAAUUCCCUGUUCUUCUUCUUUUUUUUUUAAAUUUUUGGCUGCACUGAUCUUAUUUCCCAGACCGGGGAUUGAACCUGUGCCCCUGGGCAGUAGAAGCACAGUCUUAACCACUGGACUGUCAGGGAAGUCCCUCCAUGUUCUUCAAUUUUUAUAAAAUUGUUUUGGUUAUUCUAGGUAUUUUCUAUUCCCACAUACAUUUUCUCUUUAUUUAAUUUCUAAAAACUUUUAAUUGAAGGAUGAUUGCUUUACAGUAUUGCAUUGGUUUCUACCAAACAUCAGCAUGAACCAGCCAUAGGUUCACCCAUGUCCCUCCCAAUCCUUAAAUUUUUAAUUGAUGUGAAGUUGGUUUACAAUGUUGUGCAUGUUUCUGAUAAACAACAAAAUGAUUCAGUUAUUUGUGUAUAUUCUUUUUCAUUAUGAUUUAUUACAGGAUAUUGAAUAUAGGUCCCCGUGCUAUAUAAUAGGACCUUAUUGUUUACCUAUUUUAUAUACAGAUGUAGUCAGCUUUUUUUCAAUUUCUUUGAAAAAAAAAGAAAAAAGACCACUGGCACCUAAUUGGGGGUUUCGUAGAACAAUUUGCUUUUCAAAUAUAGCUUCAUUUGAGGAGAAUUUAUACUUUAACAAUAUUGAGGCUUUCAAUCCAUAAACAUGGUGUAUCUGUCCAUUUAACAUUCAUUUAAUUGGGUCUUAAAAUUUUCAUAGGAAUAUUUUAUAGUUUCCUAUAUAGAGUUCCUCAUAUAUUUUGUUAAAUUUAUCCCUGAGAUACUAGGUUUUUGUGUUAUUGUGAAUGGUAUUUUAUAUUUUUAUUUCUAACUAUUUAUUGCUAAUAUACAGAAAUACAUUUGAUUUUUGUACAUUGACUUUGUAUCAUGUGACCCUGCCAAACUUACUUAUUAGUUUUGAUAGCUUUUUGUAGCUACCUUAGGACUUCCAAAGUAGACAAUCAUGUUGUCUUCGAAUAAAGAUAGUUUCCUUUUCA